UACGUAGGGUGCGAGCGUUAAUCGGAAUUACUGGGCGUAAAGUGUGCGCAGGCGGCAGAGCAAGUCGAGUGUGAAAGCCCCGGGCUUAACUUGGGAAUUGCGCUCGAAACUACUUUGCUGGAGUGUGGCAGAGGAAGGUGGAAUUCCACGUGUAGCGGUGAAAUGCGUAGAUAUCAGGAGGAACACCAAUGGCGAAGGCAGCUCGCUGGGACGGUACUGACGCUGAGGCGCGAAAGCGUGGGGAGCAAACAGG
rnacentral:rRNA from 1 species